rnacentral:hammerhead_ribozyme from 1 species
AUUCAGCUGACGAGUCCCAACUUGGACGAAAUGCGCGUCCUGGAU